AAGAAGAAAAGUAAUGGGGCUGCCGAGUCAACUCUUUCUCCUUUCACGCCUUUUUUGACUGAGUCACCAACUCGUUCUCAACCUCUCUCCUAUUCUCUCUCACUUUCCCUCUGUCACACACACACACACAGAAUUUCGUGUGUGAGAUAAAAAAGAGCUGCAUAGAAAACCAAAACUGAUAAAUCUUCAGCAACGACAACGAAAUUCACACUCAUAAUUCAAAUUUUUUAUAAUUUGAGAAUUGUAAAAUUGAUGUUGAAUUCUAGGGUUUUGAGACACUUCUAAUUAAUUAAUUAAUUAAUUAAAUAAAUAAAUAACAUCUUACUGUAAAUUAGGGUUUGUAAAUCAUGAUGAUAUCAAGAGGAUUAUUCGGAUGGUCCCCACCGCACAUACAACCGUUAACGCCGGUAUCGGAAGUAUCAGAGCCACCGGAAUCACCAUCACCAUAUAUGGAUAUAAGUAAUGACGGAGUACCUGUUGAUCAACAACAACAGCAAGAUGCUGAUGAGUUAGAAGAAACCGAAGAGAUCGAACCGCCACCGGCUGCUGUUCCGUUUUCGAAACUAUUCGUAUGCGCUGAUAAGUUUGAUUGGGUACUUAUGAUCGUUGGAUCGGUUGCUGCAGCUGCACAUGGAACUGCACUUGUUAUUUACUUGCAUUAUUUUGCUAAGAUUGUUCAGUUACUUGCUCAUGCUCAUGAUGAUCCUGAUCACCUCUUCCAUCGGUUUAAAGAGCUUGCUCUCAUCCUUAUCUAUAUUGCUGGUGGUGUUUUUGCUGCUGGUUGGAUAGAGGUUUCAUGUUGGAUUCUUACUGGUGAAAGGCAGACUGCUGUGAUCAGGUCAAGAUAUGUGCAAGUACUACUUAAUCAAGAUAUGAGUUUCUUUGACACUUAUGGGAACAAUGGAGACAUUGUGAGCCAAGUGCUGAGUGAUGUAUUGCUUAUCCAGUCUGCCCUUAGUGAAAAAGUUGGAAAUUAUAUUCAUAACAUGGCGACAUUCUUCAGUGGCCUUGCAAUUGGAUUCAUCAAUUGUUGGCAAAUUGCCCUCAUUACUUUAGCCACUGGACCCUUUAUUGUGGCUGCAGGAGGAAUAUCAAAUAUAUUUCUCCACAGGCUUGCUGAGAAUAUCCAAGAUGCAUAUGCUGAAGCAGCAAGCGUUGCUGAACAGGCACUUUCGUAUGUUAGGACGUUAUAUGCUUUUACGAAUGAAACAUUAGCAAAAUAUUCUUAUGCAGCAUCACUGCAAGCUACAUUGAGAUAUGGUAUAUUGAUAAGUCUUGUACAAGGACUUGGACUUGGAUUCACAUAUGGACUUGCAAUAUGCUCUUGUGCCUUGCAACUUUAUGUUGGAAGGUUUUUGGUGACACAUAGAAAAGCUCACGGUGGAGAAAUUAUAACUGCCCUUUUUGCUGUCAUUUUAAGUGGCCUUGGACUCAAUCAAGCGGCAACUAAUUUUUAUUCAUUUGAGCAAGGAAGAAUUGCUGCAUAUCGACUUUUUGAGAUGAUUAGCCGUUCAUCCUCCACGGUUGAUAAUGAUGGAAACACUUUUUCUAAUGUACAAGGGAACAUCGAAUUUCGAAAUGUGUAUUUUAGUUACUUGUCUCGUCCUGAAAUUCCCAUUUUAAGUGGAUUUUACCUAACUGUGCCAGCAAAAAAAACCGUGGCACUUGUUGGACGAAAUGGCUCUGGUAAAAGUAGUAUUAUACCGCUUAUGGAACGGUUCUAUGAUCCUACUUUAGGUGAAGUUCUUUUAGACGGGGAGAAUAUCAAAAACCUGAAAUUGGAGUGGCUAAGAAGCCAAAUUGGGUUAGUCACACAAGAACCGGCUUUGCUAAGCUUGAGUAUUAGGGAAAACAUUGCGUAUGGCAGAGGUGCAACAUUGCUUCAAAUUGAAGAUGCUGCUAAAAUCGCUAAAGCACAUACAUUUAUUACUUCACUGGAGAAAGGAUAUGACACACAGGUAGGUAGGGCGGGUUUAUCUUUGACAGAAGAACAGAAAAUAAGGCUCUCUAUUGCUAGGGCUGUGCUUUCAAACCCAUCUAUUCUUCUUCUUGAUGAGGUCACUGGUGGGCUAGAUUUUGAAGCUGAAAGAUCCGUUCAGGAGGCUUUGGAUCUCUUGAUGUUAGGCCGGUCAACGAUCAUAAUUGCUCGCCGACUUUCUCUGAUAAGGAAUGCUGAUUUUAUUGCUGUGAUGGAGGAUGGUCAGUUAAUGGAGAUCGGGACACAUGAUGAGCUGAUAGCCUCAGAUGGACUAUAUGCAGAACUUCUAAGAUGUGAGGAAGCAGCUAAACUCCCGAGAAGGAUGCCAUUGAGAACCUACAAUGAGACUGCGGCUUUCCAAGCUGAAAAAGAUUAUUUAGAAAGUCGUGAUUUCCAAGAACCUUCAUCUCCAAAAUUUGCCAAGUCACCAUCACUUCAACGAGCUUCAAACUUACAUUCAACGAGGCCUCAAGAUUCUGCUUACGGGUUACAUGAACCACCAAAACAUCCAACCCCUACUGAAAAAGAGAAUGGGUUGUCGUUAGAUGAAACAAACAAAGAACCAUCGAUGAAUAGACAAGACAGUUUUGAGAAAAGAUUGCCCGAGUUACCAAAGCUUGAUAUCCAUUCUAUUCGUCGACAAACAUCUAACGGAUCUAAUCCCGAGUCACCUAUUUCACCCCUUUUGACAUCUGAUCCCCAAAGUGAAAGGUCGCAUUCACAAACUUUUAGUCGGCCUAAUUCUCAGCUUACUGAAAAGCCAAUUAAGGUUCAACAUGUGGAGGAAAAACAGCAUAAAAAAGAACCAUCAAUCUGGAGACUCAUAGAGUUGAGUUUGGCUGAAUGGCUGUAUGCUGUUUUGGGAAGCACGGGUGCUGCAAUAUUUGGUUCUUUUAACCCUCUUCUUGCUUAUGUGAUUGCACUAAUAAUGACAGCUUAUUAUAGAAACGAAGUUGACAGACACAAUAUACGUGAUGAAGUGAACAAGUGGUGCUUGAUUAUUGCAUGCAUGGGAUUUGUCACCAUAAUAGCAAAUUUUUUACAACACUUUUACUUUGGGAUAAUGGGGGAAAAGAUGACUGAACGAGUUAGGAGAAUGAUGUUUUCUGCAAUGCUUCGCAAUGAAGUUGGAUGGUUUGAUGACGAAGAGAACAGUGCUGAUACAUUGUCAAUGCGAUUAGCAAAUGAUGCAACAUUUGUGAGAGCGGCUUUUAGCAACCGCCUUUCUAUUCUCAUUCAAGAUAGUGCAGCAGUUGUUGUGGCAAUAUUGAUAGGAAUGCUUCUACAUUGGCGGUUGGCUCUUGUAGCUUUGGCCACAUUGCCUGUACUCACUCUUUCUGCCAUUGCUCAGAAAUUAUGGCUAGCUGGAUUUUCAAAGGGGAUACAGGAGAUGCACAGGAAAGCAUCAUUGGUUCUUGAGGAUGCGGUUAGGAAUAUAUACACUGUUGUGGCAUUUUGUGCCGGUAACAAAGUUAUGGAGCUUUACCGAUUGCAGUUAAGCAAGAUAUUCUAUCAGAGCUUCUUUCAUGGCAUGGCUAUAGGUUUUGCUUUUGGCCUUUCACAGUUUCUACUUUUUGCCUGCAAUGCUCUUCUUUUAUGGUACACCGCCCUCUGCGUCAAGAAUAAAUAUGUGGAUCUCCCAACCGCUCUUAAAGAGUACAUGGUUUUCUCUUUUGCCACUUUCGCCCUUGUAGAGCCUUUUGGUUUGGCUCCCUAUAUUCUCAAAAGAAGGAAAUCUUUAAUAUCUGUAUUUGAAAUAAUAGAUAGAGUACCCAAGAUUGAGCCGGAUGAUACCUCUGCUUUGAAACCGCCUAAUGUAUAUGGAAGCAUUGAGUUGAAAAAUGUUGAUUUUGCUUACCCAACUCGGCCCGAGAUUCUGGUACUCAGCAAUUUCAGCCUCAAAGUCAAUGGUGGCCAAACAGUAGCAGUUGUUGGGGUUUCGGGAUCCGGAAAGAGCACAAUUAUCUCAUUGAUUGAACGAUUUUUUGAUCCCGUUGCUGGUCAGGUGAUGCUAGAUGGGCGUGAUUUAAAGCAAUUUAACUUAAGAUGGUUGAGAAAUCACCUUGGUCUUGUUCAACAAGAACCCAUUAUCUUUUCAACAACGAUCCGGGAAAAUAUUAUAUAUGCUAGACAUAAUGUAAGUGAGGCCGAGGUUAAAGAAGCUGCAAGAAUAGCAAAUGCUCACCAUUUUAUUAGCAACCUACCUCAUGGGUAUGAUACCCAUGUGGGAAUGAGGGGUGUGGAUUUAACGCCAGGCCAGAAGCAGAGGAUUGCUAUCGCACGGGUUGUGUUGAAAAACGCACCCAUUUUAUUAUUGGAUGAAGCGAGCUCAUCCAUCGAGUCUGAGUCAAGUCGCGUGGUCCAAGAGGCUCUAGACACUUUAAUAAUGGGAAACAAAACGACCAUUCUGAUAGCUCAUAGAGCCGCAAUGAUGAGACAUGUUGACAACAUAGUUGUACUUAAUGGGGGCCGUAUCGUGGAAGAUGGGUCCCAUGAUUCUUUAAUGGGGAAGAAUGGCUUAUAUGUGCGGUUAAUGCAACCUCACUUUGUAAAGGGUAUCCGUCAGCAUAGACUAAUGUAGUUCUGUGAAUUUGGUGUGGUAUUGGAAAUUGACUCAUAAUGUCAGUCAUCUGCAGUUCUGAAAGAGCCUUACUGGAUGGGGGCAUGUGGUGGUGGUGGAUGUAGCCUUUACUCUUCAGGCUGUGCAGGCAGUUUAGGCAGGCUUUAGGGUUGUAAAUUCGGGUUCUAAAGUCGGAUUGCAUAUUCUUUUGGAGGCACAACAAUUACAGGCUUCUUGAUUUGCAGUCAAAACAAUAACAACACGUAUCAUCCCAAUAGAAAUUUCGUGUAACACAAGCUUUAUAAGAAUGAAUUGUUGUAUCUGGAAAGUGAUCACACGAUUCAUAUUGAUAUUCGGCCUUGAAAGAUAUUUCUUUGAAUUACAGUUUUUCCAACAUCAUAUCUACAUAUCGACACGGUCAUGAAUAAGCCUCUGGCUUAAAACUAACAUAUACAUGAGAUAGGGCGGGAUAGGAAGAUAUACCUUGAGCCAACAAGAUUUUUGUAGGCAACAAGCUUACAGCACCAAUGCCUAUCAGAAGUGAUCUCCUUUUGCAAUUUCCCAAUCCUGUUUCACACAAUAUAGUCGUGUUUAAAUUACUAAAACCCCGAGUGGAUGCAACGAUGUUUUUCCAACAACAUCAUCCCUAAACUUGUAACAGAAGGGAAUUACAAAGGACUUAAAGUAGCUUACUUUCUU